rnacentral:rRNA from 1 species
GACGAACGCUGGCGGCGUGCUUAACACAUGCAAGUCGAGCGGAAAGGCCCUUUCGGGGGUACUCGAGCGGCGAACGGGUGAGUAACACGUGAGUAAUCUGCCUCGUACUUUGGGAUAGCUUCGGGAAACCGAAAUUAAUACCGGAUAUGACUCCAUGGCGCAUGUUGUGGGGUGGAAAGUUUUUUCGGUACGGGAUGUGCUCGCGGCCUAUCAGCUUGAUGGUGGGGUAAUGGCCUACCAUGGCUUUGACGGGUAGCCGGCCUGAGAGGGUGACCGGCCACACUGGGACUGAGACACGGCCCAGACUCCUACGGGAGGCAGCAGUGGGGAAUAUUGGACAAUGGGCGGAAGCCUGAUCCAGCAACGCCGCGUGAGGGAUGACGGCCUUCGGGUUGUAAACCUCUUUCACCCAUGACGAAGCGAAAGUGACGGUAGUGGGAGAAGAAGCACCGGCCAACUACGUG